GACAAGCUCACGAAGAAAGAAGGCAGGAUCUCAUGAGAAUGCGUAACAGGACACUCCACCUGGCACGGUAGGUCAGGAAGAGGUCCUCAAAGAAGGAACAUGUAAAGUGUGAGCCAGCGGGGCAGGAGUGGAAGCCGCAAGUGCAUCUUUCUGUAUCUCGUUUGUGAGAGCUCAUUAUCGAGUUGACAUGAACCCCUGGCCCAGCACAUGCUGCACAUGCCGUACCUUUCUUGUGAAGAAUGUUCCGGGCUCGUACCAGGUCAGGAUCGUCAGGCCCAACACCCAGAAUUCUGAGAGACACAUAGUUGAGCGCAGUCCCAAACACGGUGGACUUAUCCUCAAUGUGCCUACAGGAGCAGAGGACAGGAAAAACCAGGCCAUACAGAGAUAGGAGCUGAGGGGACAUAGUGAGGUGUGACCAGAAGACAAGAGUGCGAGCCUUCUGUUAUCCCCAGACAGGGCCAGCAAAAGGGCUCCUUGGUCUACCGGUAACGCCAACGUCUGGGAAGACG
rnacentral:antisense_RNA from 1 species